rnacentral:lncRNA from 1 species
GCUGGGAGUGGCGGCUUCGGUGCUACCCCAGCGCGGGCGGAUCGCGGGCGGAAGGCUGGGGCCGGACGGCGGGGUGUGAGCUGCGGCGCGGAUGUCAUGUGGCCUGUGCUUUGGACCGUGGUGCGUACCUAUGCUCCCUAUGUCACCUUUCCCGUGGCCUUCGUGGUUGGGGCUGUGGGCUACCACCUGGAAUGGUUCAUCCGGGGGAAGGAUCUCCAGCCUGUGGAGGAGGAGAAGAGCAUCUCGGAGCGCCGGGAGGACCGCAAGCUGGAUGAGCUGCUAGGCAAGGACCACACCCAGGUCGUGAGCCUUAAGGACAAGCUGGAAUUUGCCCCUAAAGCUGUCCUGAACAGAAACCGCCCGGAGAAGAAUUAAUGGAGGACACAGGGCCCUAUGGGUCCUUCUGGGGGCCAGGACUGGUCCUGCCACCAUGUCAACCCAGCAACCAGAACCCACAUCUGAUUUGCUUUAUUGCUUCUUCUGGCCCCUCCCGCCCCACACAGCCACACACAUACUGGCUGCUCUGCUAUGGCCAGGCAGACACACUAGUAGCUGAGGGGCCAGUGAAGUGGAAGGCCCGUGAGGGUUCUGGCCUGAAGGCUGCCUCUGCUGGAUGGUGACCACAGCUGCUCAGGCUUCUGUGUUGCUAGGUGCACCACUGGGAGGAGAGUGAUGAAGUGAACAUUGGCCGUCAUUCCCUGUGGGGAGGCAGUUUGGCCUCAGGUGGGAGUGGCUGGGAUUGGGGUGAUGCCUUUAGGAGGGGUACCUACAUGCCUAGUUCUGGUUUGCACUGGGAAGAGUUCAGAAAUCUCCCUGGCUCCCUUAGCUAGCUUGCUCUGUCCUUUGUGUGCAUUCUCCCUGAAAUCCUGUCCUGUCAGCUCAGGAAGGGGAUUCCCCUGGGAAGGAAAGCAGUUUUCUGUUCUUGGGAGCCCAGGCUGUUCACCUUGGGGCAGGUGGAUUUGCUUGAAAACAGUCAUUGUCUUUCACCCCCCACCCCGUCACUGUGUAGUGCAAAACUUGAUUAAAGUGGCGUCUGAGAACCAUUUUGAUCUAAUCCUGUCUUCCAGGUGGUGCUGGGGUCUCCUAGGAGCUAUGCAAAGCAGGCAUCUCCGGGUAGGAUAAAAUUGGCCUUUAACUAAGGACUUUGGGGCCCCGGAAGCUUUGUUUUACUAGCGUGGCUGCAUUGGAUCCUGGAGGCGGUGAGUCCUGGAGGUGCAGGUUCCCAAGGGCCUUUUUAUCAUGAUGACAUGAGGCUUAUAUACUUUCAAAGUCUACAUUAAGAGUAGACCAAGGAGCUUAACAAUUGCUAUCAAAUUUUCCAACUUCACACACACAUGCACACAUACUUUUCCCUAUAAAAGUAGUAUAUGUACAUUAAAUUUGGUAGGGGUUUAAAAAAGGUUACCCACAUUCUGAGGGCUCUGGUACAGAUAAAAAUAUUAACAUUUUGGUAUCUUUCACUAAUUCUUGGACUGGUUUUUUAAGAUACUACUGUACAUUUAAUUUUAUAUUUUUUUACAUAGUGUUUUCAUAUCGUAAUCACUUUCCUAUCUUAUCACAUGGUCCUCAUAAUCCUAAUUGUUUUCAUUAGCUGUAUAAUUGCCCAUCAAGUGGGAAUAUAGCAUAGUUUGUUUUUAACAGUUUCCCUAUUGCUGGACAUUUGGGUUGUUUCUGGUCGUUCACUAGGAGAAAUACUGCAAAGAGUAUCUUAUAUAAGGAUUUUCCUGCAUUUUUGGACUAAAUGGUAGGAACAGUAAAUGGCAUUUUGGAGAU